CCCGGCUAACUCCGUCCCAGCAGCCGCGGUAAUACGGAGGGGGUUAGCGUUGUUCGGAAUUACUGGGCGUAAAGCGCACGUAGGGCGGACUGGAAAGUUGGGGGUGAAAUUCCCAGGGCUCAACCCUGGGAACUGCCUCCAAAACUAUCAGUCUAGAGUUCGAGAGAGGUGAGUGGAAUUCCGAGUGUAGAGGUGAAAUUCGUAGAUAUUCGGAGGAACACCAGUGGCGAAGGCGGCUCACUGGCUCGAUACUGACGCUGAGGUGCGAAAGUGUGGGGAGCAAACAGGAUUAGAUACCCUGGUAGUCCACACCGUAAACGAUGAAUGCCAGUCGUCGGGUAGCAUGCUAUUCGGUGACACACCUAACGGAUUAAGCAUCCGCCUGGG
rnacentral:rRNA from 1 species